rnacentral:rRNA from 1 species
UACGUAGGGUGCGAGCGUUAAUCGGAAUUACUGGGCGUAAAGUGUGCGCAGGCGGCUUCGCAAGUCGAGUGUGAAAUCCCCGAGCUUAACUUGGGAAUUGCGCUCGAAACUACGGAGCUGGAGUGUGGCAGAGGAAGGUGGAAUUCCACGUGUAGCGGUGAAAUGCGUAGAUAUCGGGAGGAACACCAGCGGUGUAGACGGCUUACUGGACCACGACUGACGCUGAGGCACGAAAGCGUGGGGAGCAAACAGG